AUUACAAAUUUGUUAUUUGAUUUACAUAUCUCCUUCGUUUUGGAUUACUCGCAGCAUUAAGCUAGACACAUAAUUGAUGAAAAAAACAAGGUAAAGGCUAAGUGAGGGUUAUACACGGAUGAAAAAUAAAAGUGUUGCAAUUAAUCAGAAACAGAAGGAGUAUUCCGUUUAUCAGAGAAUAAACCGGGCUUGCUCCCAUUACUAGUGAAGAGAGAGAGAGAGAGAAAAAAAAAAAAACUAAUUUUAGCACCAUUUCCAUUUGCAAAUAACAUUGUCCAAAGAAAUUGAAAUCAAUUUUCCCGCAAAUUGUGAUAAGCCGAUUUAAGUUGGUUAUUAUUUCGCACUUAAUUUUCACACAACCAGUAACUCAGACACCCCUCUUUCUCUAUCUCUGCGAAUCAUUCAGAAAUCGGAAAACCUAAAAGCGGCGCCGAAUUACUCGCCGGAAACCUAAAUGCAUUCUUUCCGGCAAAUCAACUUUACUUUGAGACAAAUGCCUCUUCGUAUCAGAUUUAAAUUAACCAAGAGCUAAUAACCAGUGCAGAUAUUUAUACAUAAAGGGUCAAAGAUCUUGACUUUUCUUGUCACAUUAAGUGGUGGGCCGCCUUAUUGUUUUAAUAAAGGUAUGAAGAAUUAUCAAGCGAGAAUUCUUCAAGAUGAUGCAAAUGAAAUGAAAACUGAUGCAGCCUGCCAGAAUCCAAAAAAAAAAAAAAACAGACAAACAAAUCAAACAAGGCUAAAGGUGAUGCAAAUCCUAUGCAAUAACAACUAGGUAUCAGGUAGUGAAGCAAGAAAUUGAAGUAAAUGUGUCUGGAGUUGCCAGCUUACUUAGCUCAGAUUGCGCUAGCCGAAGGUAGAGAUCAACCCCGCCAGGGGAAAGGUCUGCGACAUCAAUUAAGUUUCCACUCCAUGUCAA